AAUUCGCCUGCAUGAAGCCGGAAUUGCUAGUAAUGGCAGGUCAGCAUACUGCCGUGAAUACGUUCCCGGGCCUUGUACACACCGCCCGUCACACCAUGAGAGUUGGGGAUACCCAAAGCCCGUGAGCCAACUGUAAAGAGGCAGCGGUCUAAGGUAGAAUCAAUGAUUGGGGUGAAGUCGUAACAAGGUACC
rnacentral:rRNA from 1 species